GAUCCUGCCAGUAGUCAUACGCUCGUCUCAAAGAUUAAGCCAUGCAUGUGUAAGUAUAAAUAAUUCUACUUUGAAACUGCGAAUGGCUCAUUAUAUCAGUUAUAGUUUAUUAGAAAAAAUGUACUACUUGGAUAACCGUAGUAAUUCUAGGGCUAAUACAUGAGUAAAUCCUCGACUUUGAAGAGGUGUGUUUAUUAGUAUGAAAACCAUAUGCUUCGGCAUGAUAGUGAGUAAUAAUAACCUUUCAUAUCGUAUGUUGAAAUAACGAUAGUUCUUUCAAGUUUCUGCCCUAUCAGCUUUCGAUGGUAGUGCAUUGGACUACCAUGGCAGUAACGGGUAACGAAGAAUUUGGGUUCGAUUUCGGAGAGGGAGCCUGAGAGAUGGCUACCACAUCCAAGGAAGGCAGCAGGCGCGUAAAUUACCCAAUCCUGACAUAGGGAGGUAGUGACAAUAAAUCACAAUGCGGGACUUUUAGUUUUGCAAUUGGAUUGAGAACAAUGUAAAAGAGUUAUCGAUAAACAAUUGGAGGGCAAGUCUGGUGCCAGCAGCCGCGGUAAUUCCAGCUCCAAUAGCGUAUAUUAACGUUGUUGCAGUUAAAAAGCUCC
rnacentral:rRNA from 1 species